rnacentral:rRNA from 1 species
AGACGUAGGGGGCGAGCGUUGUCCGGAAUUACUGGGCGUAAAGAGCACGUAGGCGGGAACUUAAGUCAGAUGUGAAAGACCGGGGCUCAACUCCGGGAUUGCAUUUGAAACUGGGUUUCUUGAGGGCAGGAGAGGAAAGCAGAAUUCCUGGUGUAGCGGUGAAAUGCGUAGAAAUCAGGAGGAAUACCAGUGGCGAAGGCGGCUUUCUGGACUGACCCUGACGCUGAGGUGCGAAAGCGUGGGUAGC